UACAGAGGUCUCAAGCGUUGUUCGGAUUCAUUGGGCGUAAAGGGUGCGUAGGUGGCGUGGUAAGUCGGGUGUGAAAUUUCGGAGCUUAACUCCGAAACUGCAUUCGAUACUGCCGGUGCUUGAGGACUGGAGAGGAGACUGGAAUUUAGGUGUAGCAGUGAAAUGCGUAGAGAUCAUAAGGAAGACCAGUGGCGAAGGCGGGUCUCUGGACAGUUCCUGACACUGAGGCACGAAGGCCAGGGGAGCAAACGGG
rnacentral:rRNA from 1 species